AGCGGAUGAGUGGAGCUUGCUCCAUGAUUCAGCGGCGGACGGGUGAGUAAUGCCUAGGAAUCUGCCUGGUAGUGGGGGACAACGUUUCGAAAGGAACGCUAAUACCGCAUACGUCCUACGGGAGAAAGUGGGGGAUCUUCGGACCUCACGCUAUCAGAUGAGCCUAGGUCGGAUUAGCUAGUUGGCGAGGUAAAGGCUCACCAAGGCGACGAUCCGUAACUGGUCUGAGAGGAUGAUCAGUCACACUGGAACUGAGACACGGUCCAGACUCCUACGGGAGGCAGCAGUGGGGAAUAUUGGACAAUGGGCGAAAGCCUGAUCCAGCCAUGCCGCGUGUGUGAAGAAGGUCUUCGGAUUGUAAAGCACUUUAAGUUGGGAGGAAGGGCAGUAAGUUAAUACCUUGCUGUUUUGACGUUACCGACAGAAUAAGCACCGGCUAACUUCGUGCCAGCAGCCGCGGUAAUACGAAGGGUGCAAGCGUUAAUCGGAAUUACUGGGCGUAAAGCGCGCGUAGGUGGUUCGUUAAGUUGGAUGUGAAAGCCCCGGGCUCAACCUGGGAACUGCAUCCAAAACUGGCGAGCUAGAGUAUGGCAGAG
rnacentral:rRNA from 1 species